CGGUUAAGUUAGAAAGGGCGCACGGUGGAUGCCUUGGCACUAGGAGCCGAUGAAGGACGGGACGAACACCGAUAUGCUUCGGGGAGCUGUAAGCAAGCUUUGAUCCGGAGAUUUCCGAAUGGGGAAACCCACCACUCGUAAUGGAGUGGUAUCCAUAUCUGAAUACAUAGGAUAUGAGAAGGCAGACCCGGGGAACUGAAACAUCUAAGUACCCGGAGGAAGAGAAAGCAAAUGCGAUUCCCUGAGUAGCGGCGAGCGAAACGGGAUCAGCCCAAACCAAGAGGCUUGCCUCUUGGGGUUGUAGGACACUCUGUACGGAGUUACAAAGGAACGAGGUAGAUGAAGAGGUCUGGAAAGGCCCGCCAUAGGAGGUAACAGCCCUGUAGUCAAAACUUCGUUCUCUCCUGAGUGGAUCCUGAGUACGGCGGAACACGUGAAAUUCCGUCGGAAUCCGGGAGGACCAUCUCCCAAGGCUAAAUACUCCCUAGUGACCGAUAGUGAACCAGUACCGUGAGGGAAAGGUGAAAAGCACCCCGGAAGGGGAGUGAAAUAGAUCCUGAAACCGUGUGCCUACAAGUAGUCAGAGCCCGUUAACGGGUGAUGGCGUGCCUUUUGUAGAAUGAACCGGCGAGUUACGAUCCCGUGCAAGGUUAAGCAGAAGAUGCGGAGCCGCAGCGAAAGCGAGUCUGAAUAGGGCGAAUUGAGUACGUGGUCGUAGACCCGAAACCAGGUGAUCUACCCAUGUCCAGGGUGAAGUUCAGGUAACACUGAAUGGAGGCCCGAACCCACGCACGUUGAAAAGUGCGGGGAUGAGGUGUGGGUAGGGGUGAAAUGCCAAUCGAACCUGGAGAUAGCUGGUUCUCUCCGAAAUAGCUUUAGGGCUAGCCUCAAGGUAAGAGUCUCGGAGGUAGAGCACUGAUUGGACUAGGGGCCCCUACCGGGUUACCGAAUUCAGUCAAACUCCGAAUGCCGAUGACUUAUCCUUGGGAGUCAGACUGCGAGUGAUAAGAUCCGUAGUCGAAAGGGAAACAGCCCAGACCGCCAGCUAAGGUCCCAAAGUAUACGUUAAGUGGAAAAGGAUGUGGAGUUGCUUAGACAACCAGGAUGUUGGCUUAGAAGCAGCCACCAUUUAAAGAGUGCGUAAUAGCUCACUGGUCGAGUGACUCUGCGCCGAAAAUGUACCGGGGCUAAACGUAUCACCGAAGCUGCGGACUGUUCUUCGAACAGUGGUAGGAGAGCGUUCUAAGGGCUGUGAAGCAAGACCGGAAGGACUUGUGGAGCGCUUAGAAGUGAGAAUGCCGGUAUGAGUAGCGAAAGAGGGGUGAGAAUCCCCUCCACCGAAUGCCUAAGGUUUCCUGAGGAAGGCUCGUCCGCUCAGGGUUAGUCGGGACCUAAGCCGAGGCCGAAAGGCGUAGGCGAUGGACAACAGGUUGAUAUUCCUGUACCACCUCCUCACCAUUUGAGCAAUGGGGGGACGCAGGAGGAUAGGGUAAGCGCGGUAUUGGAUAUCCGCGUCCAAGCAGUUAGGCUGGGAAAUAGGCAAAUCCGUUUCCCGUAAGGCUGAGCUGUGAUGGCGAGCGAAAUUUAGUAGCGAAGUUCCUGAUUCCACACUGCCAAGAAAAGCCUCUAGCGAGGUGAGAGGUGCCCGUACCGCAAACCGACACAGGUAGGCGAGGAGAGAAUCCUAAGGUGAUCGAGAGAACUCUCGUUAAGGAACUCGGCAAAAUGACCCCGUAACUUCGGGAGAAGGGGUGCUCUGUUAGGGUGCAAGCCCGAGAGAGCCGCAGUGAAUAGGCCCAGGCGACUGUUUAGCAAAAACACAGGUCUCUGCGAAGCCGUAAGGCGAAGUAUAGGGGCUGACGCCUGCCCGGUGCUGGAAGGUUAAGAGGAGCGCUUAGCGUAAGCGAAGGUGCGAAUUGAAGCCCCAGUAAACGGCGGCCGUAACUAUAACGGUCCUAAGGUAGCGAAAUUCCUUGUCGGGUAAGUUCCGACCCGCACGAAAGGCGCAACGAUCUGGGCACUGUCUCAACGAGAGACUCGGUGAAAUUAUAGUACCUGUGAAGAUGCAGGUUACCCGCGACAGGACGGAAAGACCCCGUGGAGCUUUACUGCAGCCUGAUAUUGAAUGUUGGUACAGCUUGUACAGGAUAGGUAGGAGCCUUGGAAACCGGAGCGCCAGCUUCGGUGGAGGCAUCGGUGGGAUACUACCCUGGCUGUAUUGACCUUCUAACCCGCCGCCCUUAUCGGGCGGGGAGACAGUGUCAGGUGGGCAGUUUGACUGGGGCGGUCGCCUCCUAAAAGGUAACGGAGGCGCCCAAAGGUUCCCUCAGAAUGGUUGGAAAUCAUUCGCAGAGUGUAAAGGCACAAGGGAGCUUGACUGCGAGACCUACAAGUCGAGCAGGGACGAAAGUCGGGCUUAGUGAUCCGGUGGUUCCGCAUGGAAGGGCCAUCGCUCAACGGAUAAAAGCUACCCCGGGGAUAACAGGCUUAUCUCCCCCAAGAGUCCACAUCGACGGGGAGGUUUGGCACCUCGAUGUCGGCUCAUCGCAUCCUGGGGCUGUAGUCGGUCCCAAGGGUUGGGCUGUUCGCCCAUUAAAGCGGUACGCGAGCUGGGUUCAGAACGUCGUGAGACAGUUCGGUCCCUAUCCGUCGCGGGCGCAGGAAAUUUGAGAGGAGCUGUCCUUAGUACGAGAGGACCGGGAUGGACGCACCGCUGGUGUACCAGUUGUUCUGCCAAGGGCAUCGCUGGGUAGCUAUGUGCGGACGGGAUAAGUGCUGAAAGCAUCUAAGCAUGAAGCCCCCCUCAAGAUGAGAUUUCCCAUUCCGCAAGGAAGUAAGAUCCCUGAAAGAUGAUCAGGUUGAUAGGUCUGAGGUGGAAGUGUGGCGACACAUGGAGCUGACAGAUACUAAUCGAUCGAGGACUUAACCUAAUUU
rnacentral:rRNA from 1 species